rnacentral:tRNA from 2 species
GGGGGUAUAGCCAAGUGGUAAGGCAACGGACUUUGACUCCGUUAUGCGGCAGUUCGAUUCUGCCUACCCCUGCCA